UACGUAGGGACCGAGCGUUGUCCGGAAUCAUUGGGCGUAAAGAGCGUGUAGGCGGCCUUUUAAGUCCUGCGUGAAAUCCUGCGGCUCAACCGCAGACGGUCGUGGGAAACUGGAAGGCUAGAGUGCGGGAGAGGAGAGUGGAAUUCCCGGUGUAGCGGUGAAAUGCGCAGAUAUCGGGAGGAAUACCGGUGGCGAAGGCGGCGUUCUGGACUGCAACUGACACUGAUGAACGAAAGCCAGGGGAGCAAACGGG
rnacentral:rRNA from 1 species